UUAUGACAUGCUUCACAAUUUUUUUGUCUUUCCUUGUGGAUCGUCCAUUUGAACAAUAUAUAUCAAUGUAAAUAACCUUACAUUUCCUUCUAUUUCAAUCGAUUUAAGGUACUCAUGUAUAAUGAUUACUAAUGACCAGCUGCAGCCACCGCCUAAUCUAACAUUGUUGUAGUCAUGGCUUUUGGCAUCUGUGUAUUCCAUUUAGUUACCUUUGCCUAAUGCGUCCUGAUGAGAGGCAUUCUUGUUGCCCUGUACACAGCUUUGCGUUGUAUGAUUGUUACUAUUUCUCCCUGCAUUCUCUCCUUUGCAUUGUCUGACUAUUACAUGAUUAAUAGAUGAACAAUCCUAUAUCCGCAAUGAAAGGCAAGGGACAAGCUCCUGUGACUAAAUACCUAGAUAUGGUUUUGUUCUGAUUGUAUAUGUGAUGAUUUUAUCCAUGUGUAUGUAUGUGGUCUUCAAAGUUGUUGAAAGAUUGAAAGCGUAAGCAAGUUCGCCAAAUUCCUUCGGUACUUUCAAAGAAAUCAAUGUCCCAUCUGUCUAUGGAAAACUCUAAGAAGGCUCGAUUGGCACAUGAAGCUCUUAAAUACUUGAGAGCCUUUUACAACAAGGUCCUAUAAGACUACAUACAUAUAUUACACCGGUUGUCCCAGCUCAUAGUUGGUUGUCAUCAGUCCGGUUGGUUGAACAAGGUCCUAUAAGACUACAUACAUAUAUUGCUACAGAUAUGGUGUUGCCAUUUUAUUGCUACAGAUAUGGUUGUUCUGAUUGUAUACAUACAUAUAAUUCUGCAGUUUGU